UACGAAGGGGGCGAGCGUUGUUCGGAAUUACUGGGCGUAAAGGGCGCGCAGGCGGCCCUGAAAGUCAGAUGUGAAAGCCCCGGGCUUAACCUGGGAAUUGCAUUUGAUACUCUGGAGCUUGAGUACGGGAGAGGAGAGUGGAAUUCCCAGUGUAGAGGUGAAAUUCGUAGAUAUUGGGAAGAACACCGGUGGCGAAGGCGGCUCUCUGGACCGUAACUGACGCUGAGGCGCGAAAGCGUGGGGAGCAAACAGG
rnacentral:rRNA from 1 species